rnacentral:rRNA from 1 species
AUGUACUGUUUGCUUGUGUUUGCUUUCUGUGCUGCAAAAGUAGCUCAUUCAUUCAUCGCUGAUUUGGCACGUGCGACCAAUGUGCACAUGCUGCAUUUAGAUUCCAGCCUAACUCUUAGCUUUCAGUUGAAGCCUUUUAGACCAAGCCAUCUCGGUUCCUUGUGUUUUCGCCUAACUAGCUUUUUAUUCUUCUUCUUCAGGUUUUCAAGGCGGUUUUGUGUAGAACAGCCACGGAGCAGAAACAACGAACAUGCUACUUCAGCAACAGCGUGGCACUUUUGCUUGUGUCUUGUUAUCUUUUUGAUAGCCUGUAUCACUGAUGGCCUUCCAUUGGCGGAGUGCUUAGAUGGUGGUUAUGUGAAGGAUGUUGUCUUCUACAAGUAG